CUGACAAAUUGCAUACAAAUCCUUGAAGAUAGUAGAAAUGUAAACAAAUUUAAUAUUGACGGUGUUUUACAUAUAUGCAGUUACAUGCAAUUAUGGAAGGUGUCUACUUUGAUUAAUAAAGUGUCUAUGGAUAAUAAAACAAGAUUGUUCGACGGACGCCAGUGUUUGCUACCCAAUAUCGUACGCUAAAUGGCGGCUGUGCGUGUGUUAUAACUGCAGAGCUAAAUCUGCGAUAUGGAAGAUGCAAGCUGAAAGUUCUCGGAAGCGAAUGCACCAUUCAUGAUCAGUGUGGUCAUAUACGGGGCUCUAAAUGUGACCGCAAUCACACCGAAACCUGCGUAUGCAGCAAUCAAUAUGACAACAAUACGGGGCGUGUACAAUUAAACGUCUGACGAGCCCGUGUUAUGCGGACGCGGACUGCACAUAUAUCAGUAACGCCUCCUGUCACGCAUCUUCUUCCGGAGAAAAGGUCUGUAGUUGCAACAUUGGUUACAAGGCAUUUUCCACUGCAUAGUGUGUACUUAAAGAGCUAUCCUGACGUUAAGUUACGUAACUAAGUCAAACGGCAAGGAGCAACUGAUGUCAGCAUGUGUUUAUGAAUUCCAGAUUGGUUUUUUAUACACAAUUUCAUGGUAAAUAAACGUUUGACGAGAUAAAGCGUAAUCGUUCAUACAAAGUCAAUGAAACAAAUGACGGAUGCAAGUUUCAACUCGAUAACAGUUGAUGAUUUGUUUCAAGAAUAUUUAGACACUAAUCUAGUCGAAAGAUGCUCGCUUGUCAAAGUGUGGAAAUGUUCUAUAUCAACAUAUUACGGCAAUGGGUCAGAAGCUCUAUACAAUAUACUCAGUGUCGAUUUUAAAAUCGUCGAGUUAGGUUAUCCCACCGUUUAUAUUCCACGAGGUGGUGAAACCUUUUUCAAUUUCACCGUCAAUCUGCCACUGCUGUGUGAUGGUAAUGAAGACUGCUAUUUGGAGUUGCAGCUCUUUGAUGAAACGGACAAUUAUAACUGCCAGGAUGCCACCGUUGCAGUCAAGAGUAACAAAACAUGUGGGAACAGAAUUCAAGGUGAAAAGCGAGGUGGUUCCAAGCCCGGAUUACAAAAAAGUUACCAAGGUAGCAUGCGCCUGACGACGAAGAACAACAAGAAGUACAAGUUACGAAAUUUUUCACUUUAACCAUGACAAUUGAAGCCUUCGGGGAAGUAGACUUUUUUUGGAAGAAGUUCAAACUUGGAACCCAUA